rnacentral:rRNA from 2 species
ACAUGUGGAGCGCUUAGAAGUGAGAAUGCCGGUGUGAGUAGCGAAAGACGGGUGAGAAUCCCGUCCACCGAUUGACUAAGGUUUCCAGAGGAAGGCUCGUCCGCUCUGGGUUAGUCGGGUCCUAAGCUGAGGCCGACAGGCGUAGGCGAUGGAUAACAGGUUGAUAUUCCUGUACCACCUAUAAUCGUUUUAAUCGAUGGGGGGACGCAGUAGGAUAGGCGAAGCGUGCGAUUGGAUUGCACGUCUAAGCAGUAAGGCUGAGUAUUAGGCAAAUCCGGUACUCGUUAAGGCUGAGCUGUGAUGGGGAGAAGACAUUGUGUCUUCGAGUCGUUGAUUUCACACUGCCGAGAAAAGCCUCUAGAUAGAAAAUAGGUGCCCGUACCGCAAACCGACACAGGUAGUCAAGAUGAGAAUUCUAAGGUGAGCGAGCGAACUCUCGUUAAGGAACUCGGCAAAAUGACCCCGUAACUUCGGGAGAAGGGGUGCUCUUUAGGGUUAACGCCCAGAAGAGCCGCAGUGAAUAGGCCCAAGCGACUGUUUAUCAAAAACACAGGUCUCUGCUAAACCGUAAGGUGAUGUAUAGGGGCUGACGCCUGCCCGGUGCUGGAAGGUUAAGAGGAGUGGUUAGCUUCUGCGAAGCUACGAAUCGAAGCCCCAGUAAACGGCGGCCGUAACUAUAACGGUCCUAAGGUAGCGAAAUUCCUUGUCGGGUAAGUUCCGACCCGCACGAAAGGCGUAACGAUUUGGGCACUGUCUCAACGAGAGACUCGGUGAAAUCAUAGUACCUGUGAAGAUGCAGGUUACCCGCGACAGGACGGAAAGACCCCGUGGAGCUUUACUGUAGCCUGAUAUUGAAAUUCGGCACAGCUUGUACAGGAUAGGUAGGAGCCUUUGAAACGUGAGCGCUAGCUUACGUGGAGGCGCUGGUGGGAUACUACCCUAGCUGUGUUGGCUUUCUAACCCGCACCACUUAUCGUGGUGGGAGACAGUGUCAGGCGGGCAGUUUGACUGGGGCGGUCGCCUCCUAAAAGGUAACGGAGGCGCUCAAAGGUUCCCUCAGAAUGGUUGGAAAUCAUUCAUAGAGUGUAAAGGCAUAAGGGAGCUUGACUGCGAGACCUACAAGUCGAGCAGGGUCGAAAGACGGACUUAGUGAUCCGGUGGUUCCGCAUGGAAGGGCCAUCGCUCAACGGAUAAAAGCUACCCCGGGGAUAACAGGCUUAUCUCCCCCAAGAGUUCACAUCGACGGGGAGGUUUGGCACCUCGAUGUCGGCUCAUCGCAUCCUGGGGCUGUAGUCGGUCCCAAGGGUUGGGCUGUUCGCCCAUUAAAGCGGUACGCGAGCUGGGUUCAGAACGUCGUGAGACAGUUCGGUCCCUAUCCGUCGUGGGCGUAGGAAAUUUGAGAGGAGCUGUCCUUAGUACGAGAGGACCGGGAUGGACAUACCUCUGGUGUACCAGUUGUCGUGCCAACGGCAUAGCUGGGUAGCUAUGUGUGGACGGGAUAAGUGCUGAAAGCAUCUAAGCAUGAAGCCCCCCUCAAGAUGAGAUUUCCCAACUUCGGUUAUAAGAUCCCUCAAAGAUGAUGAGGUUAAUAGGUUCGAGGUGGAAGCAUGGUGACAUGUGGAGCUGACGAAUACUAAUCGAUCGAAGACUUAAUCAA